UCUUGUCUCCUGCCAAAAUGCCUUGAAAGCCCUCCACUGUGGCUUUUCUGAACAAUGAACUCCCUCAGCGAACAUCUAGGGCUGUUCAACUCUCUGGUAGAAGUAACUAUUAGCUCUGUAGUACUGCACGAUAGACUUUUCUUGAAAUUGCUCUUAAAUUUUUUCGAAAUCCUUGUUUGUCUGGUACGACUCCUUUAAUACCUCAAAUCCUAUGACUCGAGCCUACAUCGCACUAUCAACAAGUGAUGACGCCUCAUUUGACUCACCGCCUUGUGUUUAAACAUGAACUGGAAUGAUGCUAAGAACUCUACUUAAGAUGAGUAUCGGUCCAUCAAUUUACUCUGGUUGUUCAAGAAUUUCAAGGCUUCAUGGUUCAUGAAUAACAUGAAUUCGCUCGUCAGUAGGUAGCGACACCAGUGCUCAAGAGCUCUCAUAAUAACAUUAAACUUCUUGUCGUAUGUCAAAUAUUUAUUGCCGGAUUCUUUCAACUUCUCAGUGAAAAAGGCUAUGGGGUGAUCUCUCAAACUCAACACUUCUCUUAUCCCCACUUUGGAUGCACCACACUCUACCUCUGAUGAUAUAAUGUCACACUUGGGAGCAAGCUUAAAUCAGUAUACCAGCUCAUGAAGUAUAUAAUUUCGCCUUAAGAACAACAAUACAGGUAAAUCAAACCUCCUCAUCUGUAUAGGAAAAUAUAAAGAAGAAAUUUGCUCAUUCUACUCUUUUGUUGUCUUCUUCUCAGAGCCUGGGAGAUAUUUUUCAUCAUAUUAGUAAUGUAUUCAACCUGGAUUUGCCCAUUUGAACUGCUUUUCUUAAGAUACUCAUUUUAACUUUCUAUCUCAUUGAGCAAUAUUAUUGUUAGAUACAACAUCCAUUUUGAAAUAAGAAAACCUUAUUAGAUCAUUAAGUAGUUUUAUUUAUGUGUACUUCUUCAAAUGACAUUGUCGUUUGACAUGGGCUUAGGAUCUUUCUGCAACUGAAUGGUAUAAUCAUCCAUGGCUUUUAUGUAGAUUUAACUACCAUCAAAAUAGACGAGACAUAUGCUUAUGAAAGUAUGUAACAAAUCAAAACUGUCUGGACUUACAUAUAACAAUCAAAGUCAUGCUGAAAUCUGUAGCAGCAGUGCAUAAUUUCUUGAUGUGUUUGUGUUUUUAUCUUUGCUCUAUUUCAUUUGUUCUCAAUGAUUUGAAUUAGAGCUUACUUAAUUCUCCGAUAAUAACAACAUGAAGACACAAUUCGUACUAACUUCAUGCAUUAUGACAUCUAAUGUCUACAUAUAUAAAUAAAGAAUAAGAUCUUCCAGAUUAAACCUUUGGACAUACAUCCUUGUAAAAAAUUUGGCACCUGUCAUCACUGGAUUUUUGUGUCCCAAAUAGGUCUGAGGCCAGAAAGCAGUUCAGCGUAGCUCCCACUGUGCUCAACAUCUCUGAAACCCCUGCAAAAUGAACUUAGAACUGUGCUGAAGUUGAAAAAGUAGCUAUUUGUUGCAUCAUUAUAUUGAUUAUAUUAUGUUUUAAGAAAACUGAUAGCACUAUAAUGACUUACAGAUCUUUCACAUAAGGUUUGGUAACUGGGACUACUCCUUUCAAAGUAUCCUGAUAGACACCAUUAAAAACUGCAAUAUAUAUGACUUAUAAGAGGAACAGCAGAGAAUAAAGAUGGGCAAACUUUAGGGGCAUUUACAUGCAUACCACCCAAUUCUUUUGUAUUUACAUAUCUAACACCUAAACUGCUUUUUACAUCAAUACCGCCCAAUUUUUUUUUAUCACAUAAAAAAUACCACCAUUUUGACAUUUAAAAAGUGAAAUACACAUUUUCAUGCAUACUUAAGGUGGCAUGUGUGCAAAAAUUAAGAUUUAUGUGUUAGAUAUGUAAAUACAUAAGGAUUGGGUGGUAUGGGUUUCUUCUGCAACUCAAGUGAACAAACCAGUAGUCAUGGUGGGAGGCUUGUGGUUUUCUCAGGAUCAUUGCUCCACCUCUCAGCAGAAUGCCUCACAGUGCUGCUCAGGCUCUCUCCAUGCCUGACAGAGAUAGCUGCACCGAUGAUGGAAAACCUGAAAGCUACAGCUUGAAAUGAUUUGAAUUCAUCUAUGCUGAUAUGCUCCAUAAUCAUGGCUACAUAUUGAACAAAUACUCUAUAGAGAUUUUGCAGAGUUGACACUCACAUUGGAGUUCCAUGAUGCAUAGAAUGAUCCAUAGUUCUGCUUAUAUGAGCAUGAAACAAUAAUAUUGGUGCAUGAAUUCAUAAAAGAAGAGAUUUUUAUGCUGGAGAGAAGAGGAGAUAUUUUGGCUAUAAAUUCAGCUUAUAUGAGCAUAAAACAAUAAUCUGAAAUUUGUUGUAAUCAGAGGCUACAACUUAUUAGUGAUAGAAAAUCUAGACUUAAAACAGAAACUAGAAAGCCUGAAAACAUAUAAUGAAUAUUUUUGUAAAACUGCUAUAUAUUAUAAAUACACUAGACCCCUUAUUUUUACUGAUAAUGCACGUGUAGAGAAGGAAGAGCUGAAAAACAUAAUUAUUCCCGUAAAGCAUAAAAGAGCAGCCUUUAGAGAAAGCUGCCGGUAAACGAAAAGAUCCAGGGAGGCUCGAGCAAUAGCUGAGAUGACUGGUGGAGUGGCACAGAGGCUUCGCAUUGACUAUAACCGGCUGAGGAGUCUCCUCACGCAGCCACCUUCAACAGCUAUCAGAAUGAAUGAUAAAAAAUUUCCAUGGGCAGCGACGAGACAGACGUCGAGAUCACCGUCAGGAGACUAUCGGUCCAGUCUGCCUUUAUUGGAUUCGAGUAUCGCUAUAUUUCACGCUCGUCCGUCUUUCUUCUCCGAUCCAAAUUGAUCUGCGAAUAGAUCUGCAGAAGAAGCUGAGGAAGAUCUCCAGUAUCAUGUCAGAGUAGUCUACAGCUGCGUAACCUCAAUCUCUCAAAUCUCUCGGUCGCCUAAUCUUCUCCUAUGAUACCAGCAGACGGAGUUUCUGUACCUCCAGGCUAGGACUAAGGGAGAGCUUCUACAAGGGAUCCCCCGAAAUACAAUGCAUGCGCCAAUCCGUUGUAUCUUCUUGCUAUUGCCUGAGGUACAUGUUUGUUUAUUCUCGUGGUGUCAGAUCAAUUAACAGACUAUAAGCUAUGAUUCGAAAAUAAUGUGUUAUAUUCUAGAGUUUAGUUUUAAGAUUAUUUACCUUGCUGGUCAUCAGGGGAUCGGUUAUAGUAUGAAUGAUAAGCUAGAUAUCAUUUACCCCAAAUUUAUAGUUA